UUAAGUUCAGCGGGUAUUCUUACCUGAUCCGAGGUCAACCUUUGGUUAAAGAUGGGGUCUUUAACGGCAGGAGCGCCGCCGCAACGUCCAUAGCGAGAAAACGAAUUACUACGCUCGGAGUUGUAGCGAGCCCGCCACUUCUUUCUGCGCUACGGCAGCCGUAGGGCCCCAACACCAAGCAGGGCUUGAGGGUUGAAAUG
rnacentral:misc_RNA from 1 species